rnacentral:tRNA from 1 species
GCGGGCGUGGCGGAACGGUAGACGCAUGGCACUUAAAAUGCCUGGGGCUCAGGCCCGUGUGGGUUCGACUCCCACCGCCCGCA